GAAGAACAGACUUCACAGCUGGGACAAGAUCUGUUUGGCAUUUGUCUUCUGCAGCCUUGAAGAGUCUUUGUUGACCACUCUGGGCCUCAGCCACAUCAUUUGCUAGAAAAUCAUUAUGGCUGCCAUGCUCAUUGGGACUGCUGCUCAACUGUGACAAUUACAGCUGGUUUAUGAAGUCCUUGUGUCUGCUGAGCUGAUGAAGCUAAAAAUGAGCCAUAAUUUCUAUACUAACCCAAAAUGACUAGCCACCAUGAAGGUGUGUUCUCCUUUGCUGAGACACAGUGGUCAGCCUGAUGGGAAACAAGUAGAUAAUGUGAAAUGGAGGCAAAAGGCAAGCAGGCCAUUAUCCCAGGAUCAGUACUUAAACAUGUUCAUGGUGCUAAGCUUGCCCCUAAUGUUUCUGAGGUUGUAGCAAGACUAUAAACAGAGGUCUUAAAUAUUUAAAAUAUAUAAAGCUAAUAUACAAAUGCAUAAUAUAUUCUGUCCUCUUAUUUUGACAAGUACACUCUCAUGGUGACAUGGAAGUCUUAAACUUUGUGGAGUUAAUUAAUACUAUAACGCGAAUGGCAGAUUUAAGGGAGUGACUUUUAGUGGGAAGCAGUGAGGCUGUAUUACAAAGUCUUGGCAAAAGAUGCAGAGAGAAGAUAUGGAUAUGCAGGGACAAAUGGAAUACUAUUCUGUAACUUUGUAAACUGCUGGAUUUGCUGUGCUACUUAAAAUAAACAUAUCAGACCUGGAAAGACCUCUGUAGAUCUUUUCUCAGAGGUCUCUUUUGGACCAUGGUUUAAAUUAAGCUUACAGGUGUGUUUUAUCUUAGUCUUUCUUGCCAUUUACCUCUCUUACAUUUUCCUCUGGGUAGGGGGCCCCAGGCAAAACAAUCAGCUCCCACUUCACCAAGCCCAUGUUGUUCCCCUUACUAUCCAGAUUUCUUUCCUACUUAUUACUUCUCUGUAUCAAAUCUUUCAACUUUUGCUCUGCCCAUCUUCUAUUCAGCUGAAAUACAAAGAGCAAAGCUUCCUCCUCCUUCCAGCUUUCCUCAUUUAUUUAUUUAUUUUGCUUUUAAAAAAGAUUUUUAUUGGAGUACAGUUGAUUUACAAUAUCGUGUUAGUUUCAGGUGUACAGCAAAAUG
rnacentral:lncRNA from 1 species